ACGUAGGAGACGAGCGUUGUUCGGAAUUAUUGGGCGUAAAGGGUUCGUAGGAGGUUUAUUAAGAUUGGUGUGAAAUCCCAAGGCUCAACCUUGGAACUGCAUUGGUUACUGUUGAACUAGAGUGUCGAUGAGGAAAGCGGAAUUCCAGGUGUAGCGGUGAAAUGCAUAGAUAUCUCAAAGAACACCGACAGCGAAGGCAGCUUACUAAUCGAUGACUGACUCUGAGGAACGAAAGCGUGGGGAGCAAACAG
rnacentral:rRNA from 1 species